rnacentral:lncRNA from 1 species
CACAAUUCGCAUCCUUCCUACAGGACAAUGUUCCAGAGAACCUCGAAAGUGUUGCAGAGUUUGAGGCCCCACCAUCACCUGACUCUAGCUAUGCGCAAGCUUUGCUGGGAGAUGAGGAUUUUGCAAAGGAGCCAGUGGCAGUUCCACCCCAACUUCAUCUAACUGUUCUUGGUUCUGAAAACUCAGAAGAGGCACCUUCUUCUCCAAAACCCCAGCACGUAGUACUUAAUCACCUCUUUAUAGAGAAAGGAUGGGCUUCUCAAUCCGUCGUUGCUCUUGGUUUAACGCAUAGAUUCCAGUCCAAAUAUGUCACCGUUGUCCUCUACAAGCCACUGAAGAGGUGACCAGCCCGUGUUCACAAUCAAAUCUUUCCAGAGCUUUCUCCUUUAAGAUUUCCACUGUUUAUAGACAUGCUCAACGUUGAAACUUCCUUUAACCUCUCUUCUCUGUUGUACAAUAGUUUCAAGUUUUAUCAGCAAUGCAUAUUCUCCUUUCUUCACCUUCUUUUUUCAGUGAUUUUAUGUUCACAAAAGGAUUAAUGUGCAAAAUGAAAAGAAAAUAUAGUUAGCUCGAUUUUGAAUCUCAUUCACCAUCAAUGCAUCUUUUGGAGGACAAGAAUAAAAUAAUUUUCUGUCGUGGAACAAAAUAUUUCUUGUCUCUUCCUCGAAUAGAUUCUUGUUUUUUGUGGUUUAUUAUUUUGGAAUUUCAAUGAAUUAAUUGCGGAUGGCUCAUAAGAUUUUAUAUUGCAUAUAACUUAUCAUUAAAGGUCAUCUCACCCUCAAUUUUCAUGGCCAAAUGAUGCUACACACUUUAUGCAAACAGGAUUUAACGAUAAUGCGUCUACAACUUAUUACAUCUUUUCCUUAAAGAAAUAACAGUAAUAUGAUUAGUGAUUAUUUCUUCUUCUGUUAUUCCUUUGACUUCGCUGCUUCUUUCUCCUUCCCAUCAUUAUUUUGUGCUCCAGCUCUACAAUGAUUCUUGCAAACCAUAUCGGUUUUCCAGUUGACAUCAUGAAAUAUACUAUGGAUAUUCCAAUACAUAGUCCACUUCCAUACCCCAUAAGAGCAGCUUUCCGAAAAUCACUCAGAAAUUCAGAAUUGCUUUCUUCAUCAUCUACGGCAUAAUUUUUCCCUGAUACAUGAUCAUUGCCACAACUUAUUGAAACUGGAAAACCACGUAAUCCAUCAUUGCCUUCAUAUGAAUUGUUCUCAAAGGUCUGAAAUUGAUUUCCAUGAGGAAUGCACCCUUCGAGAUGAUUGUAGGAAAGAUUUAAGACUGCAAGAGAAGUAAGAGAAGCAAAUUGUGCUGGUAUCUCUCCUACAAGAUGGUUACUUGAUAGGUCCAGUGAUUCAACCAAAGAUAAACUUCCAAGUGAUGACGGUAUAUGACCUUCCAAUCCAUUAUGAGAUAUAUUCAGCACACGGAGUGCAAUGAGAUCUCCCAUAAUAGUUGGAAUAUGUCCUUCAAAUUUGUUCUUUGAAAGAUCGAUAGUGGUGUACAAAAACAAGAUUCUCACAACUUCACGCUCAUAUCCCUUGGAUACGACAGCUAUCGAGUCUUGGUAAUAUCGAUCUGCACCAUAUCUUGAUGCUUCCAAUGAUAGAUCAAUUGUCCUCAUGGCUUUCAGAUGUUGAAACAAACUCGAAGGUAAGUUUCCUGAGAAGGCAUUGUAAGAGAGAUCUAUGAUUCGAAGCUCUGGAAACAUGUUCUCAAUCCUUGAUGUUCUGAUGGGACCAUGCAAUUUGUUGAAUCGCACGCUUAGAACUUUCAGCUUUGGUAGAGUCCCCAACCACACGGGGAAUGUGUCGUUGAGGUGAUUGUCUCCUAAAUCAAGAACUUCAAGUUGUUUGCAAUUGGUCAAGGAUUGUGGGAUUUUCCCCUCUAGUUUGUUGCCAUGCAAGUUGAGGCUGCUCAGUGAACUUCCAUUGCUGAAAGUUGUUGGAAUAUUCCCAGAAAGAUUGUUGUGGCGCAUAUCCAAAACCUGGAGGGCAGUAAUAUUACCCAAACAUUGCGGAAUUGCUCCCUUCAAAUUGUUUGUCGCCAAAUCAAGCAUUACCAGUGUUGUCAAAUUGCAAAUAGAUGAAGGAAUUUCUCCAGUGAGACUAUUAUUAGAUAUGAAGAAGAAUGUAGUGGAAUUUGAUGGAAUGGGUAGUGAUCCUUGAAGCAAAUUGGACCGCAAAUCAAUAGUAUCUGCAAACUGAAGAGGAAUUGAAUCCACACUCGUCAGCAUAUUGUGGGAUAUAUUAAGAUCUUGCAAUGAAACAUCCAGUUAGACCAUGCCCAAUCAGGAAUUCUUCCUUGAAUCUUAUAUUUGAAAGAUCCAACUGCCAAAGCUUCUUUGCGGAUCUUAGAAACUCCAACUCUUUCACUUCACAUGCGGCCAAUUCUAACGUAUCAAGAGAUUCGGGCAAAGUAACGUUGUUGUCAUUGGUCAAUGAGAUAUUAUUAUAUGAAAGACGAAGUUCCACAAGCUGUUUAAGGUUUGAAAAGAGGCUGACAUCCACGCGACCACUAAAAUUAUUGAAAGAAAGAUCCAAAUGCCGAAGAAGCUUUGCGGAUCUUAGAAACUCCAACUCUUUCACUUCACAUGCGGCCAAUUCUAACGUAUCAAGAGAUUCGGGCAAAGUAACGUUGUUGUCAUUGGUCAAUGAGAUAUUAUUAUAUGAAAGACUAAGAUACCGAAGCUGUUUAAGGUUUGAAAAGAAGCUGACAUCCACACGACCACUAAAAUUAUUGAAAGAAAGGAUAAGGCCUGUUAGGUUCACAAGGUUUUGAAUUGAGUGGGGAAGAUGACCCUGCAGCUGGUUGCCCUCUAAAUAUAUCGAGAUUAGUGAAUUGGACUUUAAAUCUUCAAGGGGACCAGAUAAGUGAUUAUUACUCAAGACUAUUGUAUUUAGUGAUGGAAGGGAUAACAUCCCUGAUGGUAUUGUUCCAUUCAGGGAGUUAUAUGAAAGGACCAAAUACUCAAUGCGGGUGAGAUUUGAAAGAGAUUCAGGAAUAGGCCCUCUAAGGUUGCAACUUACAAGAGACAAAUAACGCAGCGAAGUUAGAUGAUAGCCAAUAGACUCUGGAAAAUUAUCAGAAAAAUUCACCAUACUGAGAUGUAACUCUAUGAGAGAUGCACUGCUGUUCCAUUUGGCCUUUGGAAAAUAACCAUUGAGAUGAACAUUGUAACUUAAGUCAAGUAUUUCCAAGUUGGGCAGGUGAAAUAUACUCUCAGGUAUUAUCCCAUACAAUCCUGUUUCUGACAGCCUCAGAGUCGUGAAAUGAGAAGAAAAAUUCAGAGGAAUGGUGGAAGAGAUGUUUACUUGAGUAAGAUCAAGCUCUCUUAAUUGGGUCAAGUUCUGAAGAAGCGAUUUAAAAUCAUGGGAUGUGAGUCUUAGCUCCUUAGUGUAAAAGUUAAAAAAUGUGGAGAUACGAAGAGAGUGUAACUUGGAAAGNNNNNNNNNNNNNNNNNNNNNNNNNNNNNNNNNNNNNNNNNNNNNNNNNNNNNNNNNNNNNNNNNNNNNNNNNNNNNNNNNNNNNNNNNNNNNNNNNNNNAAUAAAAAUGUUGCAAUAUCAAUUAAAAUUGUUGCCAAAAUAUUCAAAAAAGUGUUGCCAUAAGAACAAUCUAUUGCAACAUACUCUAUUGCAAUGGUUCCUAACGGUUACCAUAUACCCUAAUGCAACAGUUGUAAACUGUUACAACAGUUGUAAUAUUAUAGUGCCUAUAGAUGGACAGAAAACCGUUGCAAUAGAAGUUCCUAUAGCAACACUUUCAAGAACCGUGACAUUAACUGUUAUAAUAGAGCUAUGGUAACGCGAGUAGAUGAGACGGUUGUAAAACCGUUGCUGUAGCGCUAUGGCAACGGUUUUAGGUCCUAUUGCAACGCAUAUGAAACUGUUGUUGUAGAUCAAAAUUCUAGAAUAUCUUUUCCAAAAUUAUUAAACUUCUCAAAAGUUAGAGAAUUGUCUAGAUUUGUUGAUUUGAUGCUCAAGACAAAAGAAUGACUUUAUUUAUCAAUGCUACUUAAGUGAUUUAGAUUGUCAGGAAGUUUGCUUCAAAAUAGUUGUUACUAUGUAAACAUUGCGCUUUUGAUUUACUAAUUUUCUAUUUCUUAAUAUUUCAGUAUUUUCGACGAAAAAAUGUUCAUAUGACUUCUAAUAAGCCCAGUUGGUAUUUAUUUAAUAGCUAAUUUUUAUGAGAUAUAUAUUUUGAUUAAUGCAAAUAAAUUUAUAUAUAUAUAUAUAUCAAGUUUACAAGAUCUUGUAACUUCAAAAUAUAUUUUAAAAUUUUUUUGAGUUCCUUUUUUGAAAGAAAAAUAACUCACAACAAAUGUGAAAAUAUGUGAAUAUAUAUGAUCAUUUAAAGUUUAUCAUUAACAAAAUAAAUUUUAUAUUUAGUAAUAUGGAAUAAACAUUUUCAUCUUGUCCCUACACUAAAGUAAAAUCUAAUACCUAUAUAAAAAAUAGUAACAUAAAUUAAAAGUCCUAUUUAUUUAUGUAAGUAUAAAAUUUAUUAGAAAUUUAUCUAUAAUUCUUUAGUUGUAACAUUAUAAAUUCUCUUAGUUAUUACUAAUUAUUGCAAAUGUUAUUCACGGUCUUUUACACUUUUUAGUUAUAAUAUUAUGAAUUCUCAUAGUUAUUGCAUUAAUUAUUUCUAUCUUUCAUCUUUCCUUAUAUUAACUUUUGACCAAUAAUUUUUCAUAUAGUUAUUCCUCCCCUAUAUAUGUGAUAACAUGAUGUUGUUAUUUUUCCUUGGACGAAUCAUUCUUGGUUGAAUAAAUUGAAAAUUGUUUACAAGUAUAUGAAUUAUAUCUUUGUUGGGUGUAAGAUAAACAGGUGAUUAUAUAUAUGAUUUCACAGAUAGCAUAUAUUUUUUAAUUUUAAUUUUUAGUUUUUUCGGUAAAAAAAAGGAAAUCUUUCUCAGUUAACUAUGAACAUUCAAAUAACUAUCUUUGAUUUAUGUACACAGUCAAUCGAAAAGUCAAAUAUGAGAGCCAACAAAAUGAACGUCAUCUAUUAUGAUAUAAGUUAUAAAAUAAAAAUUACAAAAAUAGUUCUAAAAAAUAAAAUGUAGUUGUUCUCCACAUGUUCAUACGACAUCCAAACAUAUUAAGUGGAAUACAUGUACAAAACAUAUCUAGAUAGAUGACAAGAGAAAUACACAACAAAUAUCAUCUUUAAGGUAAUAUUAGUGAGAUACGACUAAUUACAUGAUUGAACCUUCUCAAAUAGAAAUAAGUAUAUACAUUACUAUAUUUAACUAAUGAAACUUUUCAUUGACCAUCUUCAUAGGUUCAUGUGAAUAAGAGAUAUAUAUGAUGAUCUACUUUGAACAAUCACAAAAGAAUCUGCAAUAUUAUUUUGUGCAAAGCAUAUUAUUCAAAUCUUCGCUUAAAUUUUUUGAAUUGAUAAUCACGUGCAACGCACGUGUCGAAAAACUAGUAUUAGUAUAAGUGGAAGCUUUUAACUUCAAAGUUGGAUUACCAUUUUGCCCUUUCCUAAAAGAAUCUCUUCAUUUAAGUUUAUUUUUACAAAAAAAAAAAAAAAAAAGAGGAGACAAGAAAUACCAAAAGUCAUUACUUUUAUUUAAUAAACAACCGUUUCUUUCCUGGCAAUUCAAUGAUCGCAUUGACAUAUAACUAUUUCCUCCUAAGAGAUAACCCCCCAUAAGUUUUUCAGAAUUGAGAUAUUUCUUUAUCUUCCACAUUCAACUCUUGUAUUUUCUUAUUUUUUUAGAAUGAAAGAUUUUUUUUUUUCUUAUCACGUGUAUUUUUUUUAUUUUUUUGAAGGGAAACAAACAUUCAUACUUUAUCAACAAAAUCAAUUAAGAGACGAUGCUGAAGAAAGACAUCAGCUUAAUCUUCUGGGCAACAUGAAAACAAAAUUUUAAUUUAGGGAAGGUAAGCUCUAAAAUGGCAAAUAUCAUAAAGUCCGUUGUAUCUUUCUAAAUGUGGAUUGAUCAAUUUUCUCUUCUUUUUUUUUUGUGUUUUUCAUGAAUAUCGUGUGAUUAUAUAUUGUUGUUUUAUACAAGGUUUUUGGGAUAAUAGAAUACCAACUUAACUUUGCAACACCAAUUAAUUAUAUAUUUUUUGCUUUAUGCAGAUUUUAUACGGUUGAAUUAGUGAAAAGAUAUAAUUUCUUUCUUUUCUGUUUGCAUAGUAGGUAAUUGUUCUUCUGAAUAUUUUAGCACUUCUUAUGGACUAUCAAACUAUUUUUUUCCUAUUUGCUUUUUAUUGUUCUCAUUUUUUAUAUCAAUUAUUUGUACUAUUGUUCUCAUUUUUUAUAUCAAUUAUUUGUACAUUACAAAAGUCUAUUUUUCUCAUCAAUUGAAUAAGUUAAUAUCUCAAAUGGUCACUCAACUAUCUACUUUUCUCUUAGAAAGUCACUCAACUUUGUAUUUUAACUUAAAACCACUCAACUAUCCAUUAUUCUCUCAGAAAGACACUCAACUUUGAAUUUUAACUCGAAAGUCACUCAACUAUCAAUUGUUUUCUCAGGAAGUCACUCAAUCUAUUUUAUUGAUAUUUUAAUUAAAAUUUGCUGAUAUAACUUUUUUUAUUUAAAAUCCAAAUAACCAUUUAAAACAUUUAGUGACCCGACCCGUUAAAAAUAUAAUAUUGACCCAUUUUAUUUUACCCAUUCUCCUACCUUACCCGUUAAAAAUUUUAAUUAAAAGGAUUAAUGCGCAAAAUGAAAAGAAAAUAUAGUUAGCUAGAUUUUGAAUCUCAUUCACCACCAAUGCAUCUUUUGGAGGACAAGAAUAAAAUAAUUUUCUGUCGUGGAACAAAAUAUUUCUCAUCUCUUUUCGAAUAGAUUCUUGUUUUUUGUGGUUUAUUAUUUUGGAAUUUUAAUGAACUAAUUGUGGAUGGUUCAUAAGAUUUUAUAUUGCAUAUAACUUAUCAUUAAAGGUUAUCUCACCCUCAAUUUUCGUGGUCAAAUAAUGCUACACACUUUAAGCGAACAGGAUUUAAUGAUAGUACGUUUACAACUUAUUACAUCUUUUCCUUAAAGAAAUAACAGUAAUAUUAUUAGUGAUUAUUUCUUCUUCUGCAAUUCCUUUGCCUUCGCUGCUUCUUUCUCCUUCUCAUCAUUAUUUUGUGCUCCAGCUUUACAAUGAUUCUUGCAAACCAUACCGGUUUUUCCAGUUGACAUCAUGAAAUAUACUAUGGAUAUUCCAAUGCAUAGUCCACUUCCAUACCCCAUAAGAGCAGCUUUCCGAAAAUCACUCAGAAAUUCAGAAUUGCUUUCUUCACCGUCUUGCUGUCCAGAUACGGCAUAAGUUGUCCCACAACUUUUUGUAACAGGAAAUCCACGUAAUCCAUCAUUGCCUUCAUAUGAAUUGUUCUCAAAGGUGUGAAGUUGAUUUCCCUGAGGAAUGCACCCUUCGAGAUGAUUGUAGGAAAGAUUGAAGACUUCAAGAGAUGUAAGAGAAGCAAAUUGUGCUGGUAUCUUUCCUACAAGAUGGUUACUUGACAGGUCCAGUGAUUCAACCAAAGAUAAACUUCCAAGUGAUGACGGUAUAGGACCUUCCAAUCCAUUAUGAGAUAUAUUCAGCACACGGAGUGCAAUGAGAUCUCCCAUAAUAGUUGGAAUAUGUCCUUCGAAUUUGUUGUUUGAAAGAUCGAUAGUGAUAUACAAAAACAAGAUUCUCACAACUUCACGCUCAUAUCCCUUGAAUACGAAAGCUAUCGAGUCUUGGUAAUAUGAAUCUCCACCAUAUUUUGAUGGUUCCUUUGAUGGAUCAGCUGUCCUCAUGGCUUUCAGAUGUUGAAACAAACUCGAAGGUAAGUUUCCUGAGAAGGCAUUGUAAGAGAGAUCAAUGAUUCGGAGCUCUGAAAAUAUGUUCUCAAUCCUUGAUGUUCUGAUGGGACCAUGCAAUUUGUUGAAUCGCAAGCUUAGAACUUUCAGCUUUGGCAGAGUCCCCAACCACACGGGGAAUGUGUCGUUGAGGUGAUUGUCUCCUAAAUCAAGAACUUCAAGUUGUUUGCAAUUGGUCAAGGAUUGUGGGAUUUUCCCCUCUAGUUUAUUGCCAUGCAAGUAGAGGCUCCUCAGUGAACUUCCAUUACUGAAAGUUGUUGGAAUAUUCCCAGAAAGAUUGUUGUGGCGCAUAUCCAAAACCUGGAGGGAAGUGAUAUUUCCGAAACACUGCGGAAUUUCUCCACGCAAAUUGUUUGUCGCCAAAUCCAGCAUUAUCAGUGAUGUUAAGUUGCAAAUAGAUGAAGGAAUUUCUCCAGUGAGAUUAUUAUGGGAUAUGAAGAAGAGUACUGUGGAAUUUGAUAGAAUGGGUAGUGAACCUUGAAGCAAAUUGGACUUGAAAUCUUCAAAGGGACCAGAUAAGUGAUUAUUACUCAAGUCUAUUCUAUGUAGUGAUGGAAAGGAUAACAUCCCUGGUGGUAUUGUUCCAUUCAGGGAGUUACGAUUAAGGUGCAAAUACUCAAUGCGGGUGAGAUUUGAAAGAGAUUCAGGAAUAGGCCCUCUAAGGUUGCAACUUUCAAGAGACAAAUAAAGCAGCGAAGUUAGAUGAUAGCCAAGAGACUCGGGCAAAUUAUCAGAAAAAUUCACGCCACGGAGAUCUAACUCAAUGAGAGAUGCACUGCUGUUCCAUUUGGUCUUCGGAAAAUUACCAUUGAGCUCAUGAUUGAUCCCUAAGUCAAGUAUUUCCAAGUUGGGCAGGUGAAAUAUACUCUCAGGUAUUAUCCCUUACAAUCCUGUUUCUGACAGGCUCAGAGUCGUGAAAUGAGAAGAAAAAUUAAGAGGAAUGGUGGAAGAGAUGUUUAUGCCACUAAGAUCAAGCUCUCUUAAUUGGGUCAAGUUUUGAAGAAGCGAUUUAAAACCAUGGGUUGUGAGUCUUAGCUUUUUAUUGUAAAGGUUGUUACUGUAAAAGUAAUAAAAUGUGGAGAUACGAAGAGAGUGUAACUUGGAAAGAUGAGAGAUUUCAGAAGGAAUUUGACCUGAGAAAUAGGACCCAGAAAGAUCAAGAUGCAUCAAGCUCGAAAACUUGCUGAAUUCAGGGGAGAUAUGAGAAUUGGAGAAGUUAUUCCAAGAAAGAUCAAGCCUUUGGAGAUGCGAGAGUUGGAAUAGGCUGCUAUUGGAAUCGAUGGUUCCAGUGAGAUUACUGCAACUGAGGUCAAGUUCAAUGACAUGCCCAGUGAUGUCAUCACAUACGACUCCAUCCCAUGAGCAGCAAUCUCUACUCGUGUUCCAUGAACUCGUUUUUGGAUAAGGCUUCGGACAAUAAUAAGAUUCUACUGUGAAAAACGCCAGAGGCUGACGGAUCUAUAGUAAAGGUGUUCUUGAAUUUUAGAAGUGAAAUGGUUUGAUGUUUGUGAGGUAAUAUGGAUAUUGAAGAAACUUCAUGACAGAAAAACACAAUUAAGAGCAUAAUAACUGCAUACCCCAUUUUUAGCUUCAAACACUUCCUAAGUAUGCAAUAAAAGUAUGCAACUAUAUAUAUAUAUAUAUAUAGGCACAUAUUUGCUUGACCAAGUCCAAGUUGGAUUGCAGUAGUAAUAAUUAUCAAUUUUGGCAUUUUUAUUUUUCAUUCUGGGGCUAAUAUAUCAUAAGUUCAUUAGGUAUUUUAAUUGACAUGUAUUAUUUCAUUGUUGUAUAAAUAUUUUUAAUUUUUUUUUAUGUAAUGUAUGUUGUUUUUAAUACACUAAAUUAAAUAAUGCAUAAGAAAUAACAUAUGUAUGGUUAAUGCACGAUAACUAAUACAAACAUUACUAAUACACUCUAUUGAACAUUAUUCUUGUAUACCCAACGUACUAAUAGGUGAUUACUUAAUGCAUGCAUUAGCAUGAUUAAAGGAACAAUUGCCCCUCAAAAUAUUUUCCAUAUUUGUAGAUGGUAUUUUUGUAAAAUAAAUCUUUUUUAGAAAUUAUCAAUGCGUGUUAUUUUUAAUACAUCAAACCAAAUAAUGCAUAACAACAUAAUAAAUAAUCUCAAAAUAGCUAAUACAAACAUUAUAUAUUCAUCAUCAUUCUUAUAUAUCCCUACCAAAUGUGUAUUUGAUGUUCUGAAUCCAUAAACUUUAAAACCUAACUCUAUCUCUUAUGUUAAUUAUAUAAUUAAUGAAAAUGCUUAAAUAGACCAUUGAACUUAGAAAAAAGACUAAUCUAUGUCAUGUGUUAAAAAAUUGGCUCAUCCAUGCCAUUUUCGUUUGAGAAUUGAAGACUCAUCCAUGCCAUUAUUUGUUUGACUAACUCCAAAUUGGAUGCAGUUUAUCAAUUUAUUUAUGAAAUUUAUAUCAAAUUAGGAGGAAAAUAAGGAAAAAUAUAUUUUGUGAUUUGAAAGAAGAUAAUAUUUCAUAUUGAAAGGAAGAAUUUAAGGGAGGGGAAAAGGAAGAGAUGAGGGAACCGAAAUCAGUGGUGACGUUAUUAACUUCUUUCCACUUUUUUGUUUUACUAAUUCCUUUAUUUUCCUGCUGCAUUUUUAAUUAGUUAAUUGUUCUCAACUAUAAGAUAUAUAAUUCCCUACCACCAUUUCAUUAAAUUAAAAGAAGCCUUCAUUUUAUUUCAAUUUUUUUUUUUUAAAAAAAAGAGGAUAUAAUAAUAAAAUUAUGCAAAAAAGGAGUACGCGGCAUCUUUCUUUAACUUAGCAUCGGUAUUUUUCUCUUUUUUUCAACUAAAAAUAUUGAUUACAAUUAAAUACACACCCUAUGUUAGUUUCUUCCCUUAAAUUUCUUUUAUUCAUUUCUUUAUGAUUAGAAUUAACAGUUGCACACCGAAGAAGCUAGAGUUUUAAAGAGUGCUUAUUCUUCGAGACCCAUGUAUGACUGUCAAGGCUUAUCAGUUAUCAAUUUAUACACAAUAUUAAUUUGUCUCAACUUUUUUUUAAAAAAUAAUUCUAAUUGUUUUUUAUUUAUAUAUAACAAUUAGAAAAUUCAAAAAUUAUUUCUUAAUUAUUAUUUAUCUAUUUUUCAAAUUUAGAAAGUCCAAAAGUCAUUAUCAUUAAUUUAGUGAUUUAAUCAUCAUUUAUUAUGCAAUAAAUAAUAUUAUAUAAUAAUUUUUAUUUAUAUAUAGAGUAAGCAUAAAAAAAUUUCUGCAAUAUUACGAUAUCCAAAAUAUUUUGAAGAUCAAAAGGUUGAUAACAAUAUAAUUACUAAUACAAAUAUAAUUAUUAUUCAUGAAAAAAUUCACAAAUAACUUGAAAACAUGAUUAACUGAAAAUAAUUGAAAGAUCAAUACAACGAAAGAAGACACAAAAACUAAAAAAUAGAACAAGAAGAUAAAGAGACAGAACAAAAAAAUCAGAUUUAGAAAACCAAAUAAACUUGGCUAAUUAAGACGAUAACUAUGAAUUAAUUUUAGUUCAGGAAGAAAGAGGACUCAACUUUCCUUUGCUAUAUUUUACUAUAAUUAUAAUUAUAUUUAAAAAUAUGUCUAUUAAUUACUUGAUUAAGUUAUCAUGUUUAUCUUAAAAAUUAGGGAUAAUACAUAUAUUUGACCUUAAACUUGGCUUCAAAUUUUAACUUUGACCUCCAACUUUCAUAGUGCACAAACAAGCACUUUUAACUAUCCAAUCUUUUAAUAAAUAAACACGCGAUUUUUUGGAGCCAAGAGCGUGAAAUGCAAACGCUGCCACGUGUAUUAGCGAGCCACUCAAUGGCUGCCAACUAAUUAAACACUUUACACGUCCAUUUUAGAACUAAAAGAAAAAUAAAAAUUAAUUAAGGGUAAAGUUGUCAUUUCAGCAUUUUUUUCACUGUUGUGUGCCUCAAAAAUUACCUCCCACUCGCGCAAAAUGCAUGCACAUCACGCGACUUAAAAAAUCCCACUUGCUAUAAAAAUUUCAAAAAAAAGCACUUAAAAAGUAGAGAAAUAUCAUUCUCAAAUAUUAGACACGACUAAGUCAUAUGACAGAGUGUAUUUUUGGUAUAAUUAUAAGAUAUUGACUUGUUUACCUAAUAUUUAGAAUGAGAAGUGACUUUUUCUAUAUAAAAAAAAAAUUGAUUUCUCAUUCGAUUUUCGAUAUCCACAUUAGGGUCCCGAUUAAUUUGGAUUCUCUCGGCCUAAGGCCUAUUAAAGGGGGAAACAACACCAAGUUUUUGCACGGAGUGUCCCUCGAAAUAUCUUUUUUCUUGCACCGAGAAGUAUUCAUGCAGUUCUUUAAAUUAUCAAGUAAUUGCAAUGAGAAAUUUCAAAGAAAGCUAUACCACACAAUUUAAUUUCAAUUUAAUGAGAAAUUUCAAAGCUUGCAAAAGAAAAAAUAGGAAAAUAAAUAAAUUAUGGAAAUAAAAACAGCAAAUCCUUACACUUGAUUUAGACAUUUAUUUAUGUGGAUCAUUUCUUAUUCUGAAGGGAGACUUAUUUAUAAAGAAAAAAUUAACUUUAUGGAUCGAUAAUUGAUUUAGUCAAGCAUUUUUUAAGUUGUGUUUGUUUUGGUAUAAUUGUAAGAUAUUGAAUUGUCAAGAGACUUUAUUGGACAUGUAUUAGAAUGAAACGUGGCCUAUUUUUUAUUUAUUUAUUUAUUUUCAUUUGAUUUUAAAUAUCCACAAUAGGGGGUUAUAGAAAGGGAAGGCGAGGUUUUAAAAUCUAUUAUGAAAGCGGGCCUCUACUGGUAGUGAUAUCCCGAUCUCAUGGAUGAAGGCUAACAUUUUCUAUUGGAAUAGAGGGAUUAAUCAAGAUUUUCUCCGUGUGAGACUCAUUAAAGGCGUAAGCACCAAGUUCUGACGCAGUGUGCCUCCAAAUAACUUUUUUCUUGCACCUAAAAGUAUUAAUGUUGUGAAAAUUUCAAUGAAAGUCACUUUGAAUUUUCAUAUUGAAAUAAAUUUAGCAGUAAUUUUUUUCUCUUUAAAUAAAUCAAUAUUAGGAUAAUCUAAGAGAAAUCUUAGGAAUAGGAUCUGUAUUCAUUAAAACUUUAGAUAUCAAUAACUUAUAUUUUAAAUUAAUAUUCACAUAAUUUGAAACUAUUUAGUCCUUGCACGUGAUCGAGUCUUGCCAUAGAAGUUUUACUUAACAAUAUAUGUAUAGGCACAUAUUUGUUUGACUAACUCCAAAUUUGAUGCAGUAGUAUUAAUUUAGUCAUGAUUUUUUUUCUCUAAUAAAGUGAAGGAAAUAAUUGUUACUUUAAACCCAAUAAUAACGGUGAUUCAAAUAUUAUUAAUCCACAUAUAUAUUUUACAUAUCAUUAGUACAUCCAUCUUCCGUAUUAUAUGUGGAAUACAUUUGAAUGAUUAAAUCAAAUUUUGUACCAAAUGUAUUAACUUGAUUUAUAGUCCUUUCUUUACUUUAAUUAGCCCACUUCAAACAACGAUUGGUGUUAUUGCUUUUUUGUUCCUUCUUUAUUGAUUACUUAAUUUUAUAAAUAACUAUUUAAAGAAAUUUCUUUAGAAGAUAAAGUAAAAAAAAAAAAAAAAAACCUAGAAUAAUCUAUUUUUUAUGAAAAAAAAAAAUCAUUCAGACCCGAAUAGAGAUUUUCUUCAAAUAAAAUUAAAGUUCCACCUUGACUUAUAGUAAAUUUGAUAGCAACUGAAAAGAAAUAUGGAAAUUAAUGUUUGUUAUUCUCAAGUCAAUGCACGAGUCUUGUUAUAGAAAUUUCAAAGAAAGCUACAUCACACAAAUUGAUUCAAUUUAAUGAAAAAUUCCAAAGUUUGCAAAAGAUAAAAAUAGAUAAAACCAAAGUGUGUUUUGGUUCAAGUACCAGCAAAUCCUAACGCUUGAUUUAGAAAUUGAUUCAAUUUAUUGAAAAAUUCCAAAGUUUGCAAAAGAAAAAAAUAGAUAAAAACGAAGUGUGUUUUGGUUCAAGAACCAGCAAAUCCUAACGCUUGAUUUAGAAAUUGAUUCAAUUUAUUGAAAAAUUCCAAAGUUUGCAAAAGAAAAAAAUAGAUAAAAACGAAGUGUGUUUUGGUUCAAGAACCAGCUAACAAAUCCUUACGCUUGAUUUAGACACUUAUUGAUAUAAUAUAUUAAUGUGUUUUUUAACUUGGUCUCAGCUCAUAUUCAUGCCCUCCAAUUUUUGGUGUGCAUAAAUAGAAACUUAAACUUGUAUAAAGUUGAACAAAUAUACACACACGUCCUACAUGACAAUUUUAUCUCAUAUGUUUACUAGUUCAACUUCAUACAAGUUAAAGUGCUUACUUGUAUACACCUAAAGUUGAAAGAUAUAAAUGUAAAAUGAAGCCAAGUUAAAGGCACAUUUAUGUAUUAUGCCGACAUUUAUUUAUGUAGAUCUAUUUCUUAUUUUGAAGGUAAAAUCUAAGAUAAAUCUUAGGAAUAUGAUCUAUUUUCAUUUGGAAGUUUAAGUAAAUCUAUUUUCAUUAAAAUUCUGGUUAUCGAUAUCCUACAAUUUUUAAAUUAAUAUUCACAUAUUUAAAAACUUAAAAACUACAUAGAGAAACAAAAUUUUCAAGUCCUUGCACAAGUCUUGCCAUGGAAAUAUCAAAUGAAAGUUACUUAACAAUCAUACUUUCACUUUAAAUUUUCAUUUUGAUGUGACUACAACUUACUCUUUACUUUAAAUUCCAUGGACUUAGAAAACUUGAGUUGAUUGGUAUAAAGAUUUUAGUAGAGGCAAUUUGUUCAUCUUGUAUUCCUAAGAUAAUUAGAACAAAAUUUUGAAGAACUUUGUAAGAAACAACAAAGUUUAAAGAGUAUUUUCAAAAACUAGAAAAUUCAAACUAGUAGAGAAAAUAGAAUCAGAAACAACUGGUAUUGAUAUUGUGUUACAAAUCUUACAACAGUACUUAAAAAGGUUUUUUCUUUUUCUUAACUUAUUCAUUCUACCGGAAUAGUUCUAGACAAGCACAAAACAAUGAGAAUAGCUGAACAAAACUAACACAUCAUUAACCGCAUCCAUGACUUAAAUUAUAAACUAUAUAGGAAAACAGGGAAAAUCUUUUCAACGGGAGGACAGACCAAAUUUUAUUUUCAUCGAGCCCAUGCGAAGGGUUUGGUUAAGAUACGCCAGAUUCCACCAAGUAUACAAAUGGAACCUAACCAUACAUGUCCUCCGAUUAUAUCUUCUAAAUCAUCCCACUAUCAAUCCAUCCUUCCCCUCCAAAAGGGGAUGUUAGUAGAAAACCAAAUAUGAAACUCAAGCUAAGUGUCAAAUUGGUAGUUUUUCUGACAUCUCCCCCUCCCGGAAAUCAGGUUCGUCCGUAAUCUGUUUCAACCAAAAGAUGUAGUCAUUCCAACCAAAAGCGGUCAGGUUUAGGUGUUACAACUAAAUUCGCUUAUAUAAUACUACCAAGUCUGAAACUUUCUAAGGACAUAUUUAUCAGCUAGUUGGUAAGAAAAGCAAACAUAAGUAUAUAUAUACUUACUUUUGAGAAAAAGUAACUGUAACAUAUGUAAAUAUACUCGAUUGAUAGAAAAGCUUGAGUCGGCACCAGAAUAAUGAACUAACUGCUGUAGCACCCAAUGAUGUAGCUUACUGGUCAAUGAUGUGGGUUGAGCACCAUGAGGUCUCAAGUUGAAUUUCCAACAGAGACAAAACACUAGGUGAUUUCUUCUCAUCUGUCCUAGCCUAGUUCUAGCCUUGGUCAACAGAGGUACCCAAUACUUGUUGACGGUGGGAGGUGGCAAGUAUCCCGUGGAAUUAGUCGAGGUGCGUGAAAGUUGGCCCGGAGGCUCCAAACACCACAGUUAUCAUAAAAAAAGAACUAACUGCUGUAUAGAUAUAAAUAUAGAUAGGAAACAUCAGUAAUGUCUCAGGAAAAGUGAUUUUGCCCAAAAUGUCUGAAGAUGGUUCUAGUCGGACCAUAUUUUCUUUACCAUAUGAGUAAAAUUUUCCCAAAAAGACUAGCAUAAACUUCCUUACAAGCUAAAGUGUUGUAGGGGAAUCAUACAAUCCCAUUACAAAUGAGUUACCACAUUGAACAAAAUUGAUUAUAUCCUUCAUUAAGCAAAGCAAAGAAAAAAUCAAGAAUCGACGGCAGGAAUCCCAGCCAGGAAACACAUAAGAGGGAUUCAAGUUUUCUAAGAAAUGUUAACUGAUUUGAGCCAAAUACCAUUUCAACAGCUUCAUUCUAAUGCAACCCUCAAAUAAGUUCCCCAUUUGUCAAAACCAAAUCAAUCCUCAAAUUCCCAGGUAAAAUCAAUCAAACAAGUUAACAAUAUCAACGAAUACUUAACCUGCUGACCAAUUUCACAUAGGUCAACCUGACAUCUAAUUCUACCACAACUUGAAGCAAAACCAGGUCCAAAAUCAAAUCUUCAUCGACAUCUCAAGUUCAAAAAUCAAACCUGUCACGGACAAAAGCCUAGAGUUUAAGUGGAUAAGACAUAAGAGUAGACAUGCGAGCCAAUUAUCUACCAAGUUUCAAACCGUGAACCCAGGGUUAUCAAAAAAUCAAAUCUUUAUUAAAUAUAUUCCAAUAACAACAUAGAAAGAAGCCAUCUCCAAACACUAGGAAGUGUAAGUUCUCCACCUAGUUACACAAAUUAAGCACCAUCCUCACCGCAGAAAGAUCCUACAUCUUGGCAGUGGGUGUAUUCAUAUGAACCCUUUUUGUUAGAAAAUUAAGCAAAGGUACGGAAAGAGAUGGACUUGAACCCAUCCACUACCUCCCUUUGAACUAUAUAAUAUUGAAUGAAACAAUCUAUCAAAAUAUGUCUCUAUGUAUAUAUGCACACAUCCUACUCACCAUACCUCACUUCUUUUUUUAUAACGGUAGUGUCCAAGCCAACUUUUGCACACCACGACUAAUUCCACAGGAUACCUGUUACCGGCCACCUCCCACCACCAGCAUGUACAGAUAACUAUCCAUCAAAGGCCUAGACGGAUGGGAAGAAAUCACCUAGUUUUUUUUUUUUUUUCUCUGGUGGGAUUUGAACAUGAGAUAUGACUUGUUAUAUGUCUCCAUAUGAUAAGUUUACACUCAUUUUCAAGAAGCAUAAAUAAUGGUUUCAAAGAUAUUCCAAACUCAUUUACUCAACAAUAUUGGAACCACUUAUCCUCACUCAACAUCAAAUCAAUCAUACAUCAGAAAUUAGUCAAUAAAUAGCAACACUAAAUGUGGAUCUAGCCCUUCGAAUCGUGUUAAACCAAAUCCACUUCUUUCAGCUCAAACAAUUACAACUAAACUUAUCAUAUCAUAUCAUAUAUUAGUAAAAGUAGGAAACUCCAAAGUGCAAAGUUGGAUCACAUUGACAUAUAACUAUUUCGUCUUAAGAGAUAACCCCCCAUAAGUUUUUCAGAAUUGAGUGAUUUCUUUAUCUUCCACAUUCAACUCUUGUAUUUUCUUAUUUUUUUAGAAUGAAAGAUUUUUUUUUCUUAUCACAUGUAUUUUUUUUAUAUUUUUGAAGGGCAGCAAACAUUCAUAUUUUACCAACAAAAUCAAUUACGAGACGAUGCUGAAAUGUCAAAUAUCAUAAAGUCCGUUGUAUCUUUCUAAACGUGGAUUGAUCAAUUUUCUCUUCUUCUUUUUUUUGUGUUCUUCAUGAAUAUCGAAUAUCGUGUGAUUAUAUAUUGUUGUUUUAUACAAGGUUUUUGGGAUAAUAGAAUACCAACUUAACUUUGCAACACCAAUUAAUUAUUGAUUUUUUGCUUUAUGCAGAUUUUAUAUGGUUGAAUCAGUGAAAAGAUAUAAUUUCUUUCUUUUCGAUUCACAACGUAGGUAAUUGUUCUAUUGAAUAUUUUAGCACUUCUUAUGGACUAUCAAACUAAUUUUUUCCUGUUUGGUUUUUAUUUUUCUCAUUUUUUAUUUAUCAAUUAUUUGUACAUUACAAAAGUUUAUUUUUCUCAUCAAUUGUUUUUAACAUUUCAAAAUCUCGAAAUAUACUUACGAAUGAAUAACAUUUUCAAUAAUAGAUAUUAUCUUUGGGAUAAAUAUAUAAUAUUAUACUUCAUAAUUCAUUGUACUUAAGUCUCCAAAACAUAAUUAUUAUUUUUAUGUUAUAUUAAUUUCUAAAUUUUUCAUUUUUCAUAUAUUAUAUUAUUAUUUUGAAAGUGAAAGCCUUUUAAGUUAAAAAAAAAUGAAUUACCAAAAUGUCCAUUAUAAGUUGGACAUUUUUACUGAUUAGUCAUGAACUAUUUCUUCAAUAUUCAAGUUAUACAAAAUUGUAAGAAAAAAAAUCAUAAAAUAUUACCAUUAAAUUAUUAUAAAUUUGAGACUUAGUUAACUUGGAGAUAGACCAGAGCAGUUAACUUGCUUUAACCUCUCUUCUCUGUUGUACAAUAGUUUCAAGUUUUAUCAGCAAUGCAUAUUCUCCUUUCUUCACCUUCUUUUCAGUGAUUUUAUGUUCACAAAAGGAUUAAUGUGCAAAAUGAAAAGAAAAUAUAGUUAGCUAGAUUUUGAAUCUCAUUCACCACCAAUGCAUCUUUUGGAGGACAAGAAUAAAAUAAUUUUCUGUCAAGGAACAAAAUAUUUCUCAUCUCUUCCUCGAAUAGAUUCAUGUUUUUUGUGGUUUAUUAUUUUGUUAUUUCAAUGAACUAAUUGUGGAUGGUUCAUAAGAUUUUAUAUUGCAUAUAACUUGUCAUUAAAGAUUAUCUCACCCUCAAUUUUCAUGGUCAAAUAAUGCUACACACUUUAAGCAAACAGGAUUUAACAAUAGUACGUCUACAACUUAUUACAUAUUUUCCUUAAAGAAAUAACAGUAACAUUACUAGUGAUUAUUUCUUCUUCUGCAGUUCCUUUGCCUUCGUUGCUUCUUUCUCCUUCCCAUCAUUAUUUUGUGCUCCAGCUUUACAAUGAUUCUUGCAAACCAUAUCGGUUUUCCAGUUGACAUCAUGAAAUAUACUAUGGAUAUUCCAAUGCAUAGUCCACUUCCAUACCCCAUAAGAGCAGCUUUCCGAAAAUCACUCAGAAAUUCAGAAUUGCUUUCUUCACCGUCUAGCUGUCCAGAUACGGCAUAAGUUGUCCCACAACUUUUUGAAACAGGAAAACCACGUAAUCCAUCAUUGCCUUCAUAUGAAUUGUUCUCAAAGGUAUGAAAUUGAUUUCCUUGAGGAAUGCACCCUUCAAGAUGAUUGUAGGAAAGAUUGAAGACUGCAAGAGAAGUAAGAGAAGCAAAUUGUGCUGGUAUCUCUCCUACAAGAUGGUUACUUGACAGGUCCAGUGAUUCAACCAAAGAUAAACUUCCAAGUGAUGACGGUAUAUGACCUUCCAAUCCAUUAUGAGAUAUAUUCAGCACACGGAGUGCAAUGAGAUCUCCCAUAAUAGUUGGAAUAUGUCCUUCGAAUUUGUUGUUUGAAAGAUCGAUAGUGGUGUACAAAAACAAGAUUCUCACAAUUUCACGCUCAUAUCCCUUGGAUACGACAGCUAUCGAGUCUUGGUAAUAUCGACUUCCUUCAUAACUUGGUGUGUUCAUUUUUGAUGAAUUGUCCCCAUGGCUUUCAAAUGUUGAAACAAACUCGAAGGUAAGUUUCCUGAGAAGGCAUUGUAAGAGAGAUCUAUGAUUCGGAGCUCUGGAAACAUGUUCUCAAUCCUUGAUGUUCUGAUGGGACCAUGCAAUUUGUUGAAUCGCAAGCUUAGAACUUUCAGCUUUGGCAGAGUCCCCAACCACACGGGGAAUGUGUCGUUGAGGUGAUUGUCUCCUAAAUCAAGAACUUCAAGUUGUUUGCAAUUGGUCAAGGAUUGUGGGAUUUUCCCCUCUAGUUUAUUGCCAUGCAAGUUGAGGCUGCUCAGUGAACUUCCAUUGCUGAAAGUUGUUGGAAUAUUCCCAGAAAGAUUGUUGUGGCGCAUAUCCAAAACCUGGAGGGAAGUGAUAUUUCCGAAACACUUCGGAAUUUCUCCACGCAAAUUGUUUGUCGCUAAAUCCAGCAUUACCAGUGAUGUCAACUUGCAUAUAGAUGAAGGAAUUUCUCCAGUGAGAUUAUUAUGGGAUAUGAAGAAGUAAUUUGUGGAAUUUGAUGUAAUAGGUAGUGAACCUUGAAGCAAAUUGGACCGCAAAUUAAUAGUAUCUGCAAACUGAAGAGGAAUUGAAUCCACACUCGUCAGCAUAUUGUGGGAUAUAUUAAGAUCUUGCAAUGAAAACAUCCAGUUAGACCAUGCCCAAUCAGGAAUUCUUCCUUCAAUCUUAUUAUUUGAAAGAUCCAACUGCCAAAGCUGGUUUGCGGAUCUUAGAAACUCCAACUCUUUCACUUCACAAGAGGCCAAUUCUAACCUAGUAAGAGAUUCGGGCAAAGUAACGUUGUUGUCAUUGGUCAAUGAGAUGUUAUUAUAUGAAAGACUAAUAGACCGAAGCUGUUUAAGGUUUGAAAAGAGGCUGGCAUCCACACGACCACUAAAAUUAUUGAAAGAAAGAUCAAGAUCUGUUAGGCUCACAAGGUUUUGAAUUGAGUGGGGAAGAUGACCCUGCAGCUGAUUGCCCUCUAAACUUAUCCAGAUUAGUGAAUUGGACUUGAAAUCUUCAAGCGGACCAGAUAAGUGAUUAAAACUCACGCCUAUUUCCUUUAGUGAUGGAAGGGAUAACAUCCCUGGUGGUAUUGUUCCAUUCAGGGAGUUACCAUUAAGGUAUAAAUACUCAAUGCGGGUGAGAUUUGAAAGAGAUUCAGGAAUAGGCCCUCUAAGGUUGCAACUUUGAAGAGACAAAUAACGCACCGAAGUUAGAUAAUAGCCAAGAGACUCAGGCAAAUUACAAGAAAAAUUCACGUCACUGAGAUCUAAUUGUAUGAGAGAUGCACUGCUGUUCCAUUUGGUCUUCGGAAAAUUACCAUUGAGCUCAUGAUUGAUCCCUAAGUCAAGUAUUUCCAAGUUGGGCAGGUGAAAUAUACUCUCAGGUAUUAUCCCUUACAAUCCUGUUUCUGACAGCCUCANNNNNNNNNNNNNNNNNNNNNNNNNNNNNNNNNNNNNNNNNNNNNNNNNNNNNNNNNNNNNNNNNNNNNNNNNNNNNNNNNNNNNNNNNNNNNNNNNNNNNNNNNNNNNNNNNNNNNNNNNNNNNNNNNNNNNNNNNNNNNNNNNNNNNNNNNNNNNNNNNNNNNNNNNNNNNNNNNNNNNNNNNNNNNNNNNNNNNNNNNACGAAGAGAGUGUAACUUGGAAAGAUGAGAGAUUUCAGAAGGAAUUUGACCAGAGAAACCGGACUCAGAAAGAUCAAGAUGCGUCAAGCUCGAAAACUUGCUGAAUUCAGGGGAGAUAUGAGAAUUGGAGAAGUUAUUACCAGAAAGAUUAAGCCUUUGGAGAUGAGAGAGUUGGAAUAAGCUGCUAUUGGAAUCAAUGGUCCCAACAAGUCCGCUGCGGCCGAGGUCAAGUUCAAUGACAUGGCCAGUGAUGUCAUCGCAUACGACUCCAUCCCAUGACCAGCAAUCUCUGCUCAUGUUCCAUGAACUCGUUUUUGGAUAGAACUUCUGACCAUAUUCAAGAAAAACGCCAGAGGCUGACGGAUCUAUAGUAAAGGUGUUCUUGAAUUUUAGAAGUGAAAUGGUUUGAUGUUUGUGAGGUAAUAUGGAUAUUGAAGAAACUUCAUGACACAGAAACACAAUUAAGAGCAUAAUAACUGCAUACCCCAUUUUUAGCUUCAAACACUUCCUAAGUAUGCAAUAAAGUAUAGCAACUAUAUAUAUAUAUAUAUAUAGGCACAUAUUUGCUUGACCAAGUCCAAGUUGGAUUGCAGUAGUAAUAAUUAUCAUUUUUGGCAUUUUUAUUUUUCAUUCUGGGGUUAAUAUAUCAAAAGUUCAUUAGGUAUUUUAAUUGACAUGUAUUAUUUCAUUAUUGUAUAAAUAUUUUUUUAAAAUAAUUAUGCAAUGUAUGCUGUUUUUUAUACACUAAAUUAAAUAAUGCAUAAGAAAUAAUAUAUGUAUGGUUAAUGCACGAUAACUAAUACAAACAUUACUAAUACACUCUAUUGAACAUUAUUCUUGUAUACCAAACGUACUAAUAGGUGAUUACUUAAUGCAUGCAUUAGCAUGAUUAAAGGAACAAUUGCCCCUCAAAAUAUUUUCCAUAUUUGUAGAUGGUAUUUUUGUAAAAUAAAUCUUUUUUAGAAAUUAUCAAUGCGUGUUAUUUUAAAUACAUCAAACCAAACAAUGCAUAACAACAUAAGAAAUAAUCUCAAAAUAGCUAAUACAAACAUUAUUAGUACAUUAUAUAUUCAUCAUCAUUCUUAUAUACCCCUACCAAAUGCUUCCUAUGGAUUUGAUGGGCAGAUUCAGAAUCCAUAAACUUUGAAACCUAACUCUAUCUCUUAUGUUAAUUAUAAUAAUAUUGGAAAAAUGCUUAAAUAUGCGAUUGAACUUUGAAAAAAGGCUCAUUUAUGCCAUCCGUUAACAAAUUGGCUCAUCCAUCCCAUUUUCGUUUGAGAAUUAAAUGAAAUAGAGACAUCAGUGUUUGUUAUUAUUCUCAAGUCUAUGUACAAGUCUUGCUAUAGAAAUUUCAAAGAAAGCUAUACCACACAAUUUAAUUUCAAUUUAAUGAAAAAUUACAAAGCUUGCAAAAGAAAAAAUAGGAAAACAAAUAAAUUAGGGAAAAUGCAUAAGUACCCCCCAGCCUAUCCUUUACAAAAUUGUCAACAUGCACUGGGCCCACAAGAUAGUGCCACGUAGGCCGAAAAGGGGUAGAAAAUUAUAUAUAAGAUAAGUUCGGGGGGAUAAUAGGACCUUAGUAAAGGUUAGGUGUGUCUCAGGGAUUUGGGGCAUAGGCUGGGGGGUACUUAUGCAUUUCUCCCAAUAAAUUAUCGAAACUGUUUUUUAGUUCAAGAACCAACAAAUCCUUACACUUGAUUUAGACAUUUAUUUAUGUGGAUCUAUUUCUUAUUCUGAAGGGAGACUUAUUUAUAAAGAAAAAAGUACCUUUAUUGGAUCGAUAAAUGAUUUAGUCAAGUAUUUUUAAGUAGCGUGUUUGUUUUGGUAUAACUGUAAGAUAUUGAAUUGUUGAGGGACCUUAUUGGACGUCAUAUUAGAAUGAAACAUGGCCUAUUUUUAUUUUUUAUUUUUUAGUUUGAUUCGAUUUUAAAUAUCCACAAUAUGACGUUGAUUAAUCUAGAUUUUCGCCAUGUGAGACACAUUAAAGGCGUAAGCACCAAGUUUUUGACGCAGUGUGCCUCCAAAUAACUUUUUUCUUGCACCUAAAAGUAUUAAUGUUGUGAAAAUUUCAAUGAAAGUCACUUUGAAUUUUCAUAUUGAAAUAAAUUUAGCAGUAAUUUUUUUCUCUUUAAAUAAAUCAAUAUUAGGAUAAUCUAAGAGAAAUCUUAGGAAUAGGAUCUAUAUUCAUUAAAACUUUAGAUAUCAAUAACUUAUAUUUUAAAUUAAUAUUCACAUAUUUUGAAACUAUUUAGUCCAUACACAACGUCGAGUCUUGCCAUAGAAAUUUCAAAUGAAAGUUACUUAACAAUAUAUGUAUAGGCACAUAUUUGUUUGACUAACUCCAAAUUGGAUGCAGUAAUAAUAAUUUAGUCGUGAUUUUUUUUUUCUAAUAAAGUGAAAAGGAAAUAAUUGUUACUGUAAACUCAAUAAUAAUGGUGAUUCAAAUAUUAUUAAUCUACAUAUAUAUUUACAUACCAUUAUUACAUCCAUCUUCCGUAUUAUAUGUGGAUUACAUCUGAAUGGUUAAAUCAAAUUUUGUACCAAAUGAAUUAACGUGAUUUAUAGUCACCUUCUUUCUUUACUUUAAUCAUCCCACUUCAAACAACAAUUGGUGCUAUUUUUCAUGUCCCGCCACUUCGCACGGAAAAUUAGUGAAACUCUAAGUCCGUGACAUAUUGCUUUUUGGCUCCUUCUCUUUUGAUUACUUAAUUUUAUGAAUAACUAUUUAAAGAAAUUUCUUUAGAAGAUAAAGAGAAAAAAAACGAACAUAUAGAAUAAUAUAAUUUUUUUAUAAAAAAAAUCAUUCAGACCCGAAUAACGAUUUUUUCAAAUAAAUAUUCCACCGUGAUCUAUAGUAAAUUUGAUAGCAAUUGAAAAGAAAUAUGGAAAUUAAUGUUUGUUAUCCCAAGUCAAUGCACAAGUCUUGCUAUAGAAAUUUCAAAGAAAGCUACAUCACACAAAUUGAUUCAAUUUAAUGAAAAAUUCCAAAGUUUGCAAAAAAAAAAAGAAGAUAAAAACAAAGUGUGUUUUGGUUCAAGAACCAACAAAUUCUUACGUUUGAUUUAUACAUUUAUUGACCUAAUACAUUAAUGUGCUUUUUUAUUUGGUCUCAACUCAUAUUCAUGCCCUCCAACUUUUAGUGUGCAUAAAUAGACAUUUAAACUUGUAUAAAGUUGAACAAAUAGACACACACGUCCUACGAUCGUACAUGACAAUUUUCAUCCUAUGUGGUGUCUUAUGUGUAUUAUGUCACGUAAGGGCUCAUAUGUCUACUUGAUCAACUUCAUACAAGUUAAAAUGCUUACUUGUGCACAACUAAAGUUGAAGGACAUAAAUGUAAAAUGAAGUGAAGUUAAAGGGCACAUUUAUAUAUUAUGGAGAUAUUUAUUUAUGUAGAUCUAUUUCUUAUUUUGAAGGGAAAAUCUAAGAGAAAUCUUAGGAAUGUGAUCUAUUUUCAUUAUAAUAAAUAUAUGAAGUUUAAUAAAUCUAUUUUCAUAAAUUUUUUGGAUAUUGAUAACAUAUAAUUUUUAAAUUAAUAUUCACAUAUUUAAAAACUACACAGUGAAACAAAAUUUUCAAGUCUUUGCACAAGUCUUGCCACGAAAAUUUCAAAUGAAAGUUGCAAAACAAUCAUAUCCCUUUCACUUUGAUUUUUCAUUUUGAUGUGUUUACAACUUACUCUUUACUCUAAAUUCCAUGGACUUAGAAGACUUAAAGAGUUGAUUAGUUGAGGCAAUUUGAUCUAUAUAUUACUUCGUCUGUUUCAAAAUAAGUGGUAUUUUUAGUUUGAUUACUUCAUAAUUACCUUCUAUAGGUAUUUUUAGUUUGAUUAGUCCGUGACAUAUUGCUUUUUGGUUCCUUCUCUUUUGAUUAUUUAAUUUUAUGAAUAACUAUUUAAAGAAAUUUCUUUAAAAGAUAAAGAAAAAAAACGAACAUAAAAUAAUCUAAUUUUUUUUAUAAAAAAAAUCAUUCAAACUCGAAAAGAGAUUUUUUUUUUCAAAUAAAAAUUCCACCUUGACCUAUAGUAAAUUUGAUAGCAACUGAAAACAAAUAUGGCAAUUAAUGUUUGUCAUCCUCAAGUCAAUGCACAAGUCUUGCUGUAGAAAUUUCAAACAAAGCCAGAUCACAUAAAUUGAUUCAAUUUAAUGAAAAAUUCCAAAGUUUGCAAAAGAAAAAAAUAGAUAAAAACAAAGUGUGUUUUGGUUCAAGAAGGAUUUACGCUUGAUUUAGACAUUUAUUGGCAUAAUACAUUAAUAUGCUUUUUAACUUGGUCUUAGCUCAUAUUAAUGCCCUCCAACUUUUGGUGUGCAUAAAUAGACACUAAAACUUGUAUAAAGUUGAACAAAUAGAUACACACAUCCUAUGUGGUAUCGACAAUCUUCAUCUUAUGUGGUGUCUUAUGUGUAUUAUGUCACGUAAGGACGCAUAUGUCUACUUGGUCAACUUCAUAUAAGUUGAAGUGCUUACUUGUACACAUCUAAAAUUGGAGGGCAUAAAUGUGAAAUGAAGCCAAAUUGAAGGACACAUUUAUGUAUUAUGCCAACAUUUAUUUAUGUGGAUCUAUUUCUUAUUUUGAAGGGAGAAUCUAAGAGAAAUCUUAGGAAUAUGAUCUAUUUUCAUUUGGAAGUUUAAGUAAAUCUAUUUUCUUUAUAGUAGAUAUAUGAAGUUUAAUAAAUAUAUUUUCAUUAACACUUUGGUUAUCGAUAUCCUACAAUUUUUAAAUUAAUAUUCACAUAUUUAAAAACUACAUAGUGAAACAAAAUUUUCAUGUCCUUGCACAAAUCUUGCCAUGGAAAUUUCAAAUGAAAGUUACAAAAUAAUCAUAUCCUUUUCACUUUAAUUUUUCAUUUUGAUGUGACUACAACUUACUCUUUACUCUAAAUUCCAUGGACUUAGAAAACUUGAGUUGUUUAGUAUAAAGACUCUAGUAGAGGCAAUUUGAACAUUAAUGUAAACAAAGAUGCGACUCAUAUUACUUCAGAUUUACUCGCCUGUUUCAAAAUAAGUGAUAUUUUUAGUUUGAUUACUUUAUAUUUACCUUCGAUAGGAUAAACACAAUAUACAAACUAACUGUAUUUCCACAUGAUGAUCUUGCAGGCUUAAAAAACUUGAGCAUUUUCAGAGAAAAUUGGAAGAUGAUCAAUGUAUAUUAGAAGUAAAAAAUAACAAGAACGAUUACAAGAGAAUCUGAAAUAUCAACAAAAUUAAUCGCGCAAAAUAAAAAACAAAAAAUCCUCAAUUGUCAUAAGGUUCAAAAUAACCGAAUUUAGUUAAGUUGAGUUGAUCAGUUCUCACUUGGCCAUCAUGACCUUAACGAACUCGUCGUAGUUGAUGUAAUGACCCUAAAGGUCAUUUUUGGAAAUUUUCAUAAAAUGACCGUUCUACCCCUCCCGAUAGUUUCCCCGAGUCCUAAUUUUUGUAAUUUCGAAGUUGGUUUGAAGGAAAAUUGAUGAAAAGUUGAGUUUUUGGAAAGUUGAGUUUUUAAGAGUUAAAGUUUGGUUAAAAGUGCUAUUUCGAGUCAUUUGGAGUUUCGAGACUCGAAUCGGAUUUCCGUCGAUUUCAACAAUUUUAGAAUGUCGAAACGGGUCUAUGAGAAUUUACGGAGUCGAAUUUGGAGUUAAAACGAAGAUUUGAGGUCCUAAGUUGCAAAAAUUGUGAAAUUUUGAUCAAGAGUUGACUUUGGUCAACAAACGAGGUUCCGGUGCUCGAAAUGGAAUUCCGAGGGCACCGUUGGAUUCAGGGGGUGAUUCUAAGUCUAGAAUGAGUCUUGGUUGAAUUUUUAGAGGCUCCGAGUGCGUUUCGAGUUUUUGAGCCUAAAGUUAGUUUCUUGACGCCUUAUCGGAUACCGGGUCAAGGAGACCUCGAAUUCAAAUUCCGACGAUUUCAUUGAGUCCGAAAUGUCAUUUUCAAGCUAGUAGCAUAUUUGGUUUGUGUUCGGGAAGUGCCAAAUGAGUUUUGGGUGAGCUUUUAAGCUUCUUGGAUGCUUUGACACUAUUUCAGCAAAUUGUGACAACUAAAGGGUUCAUUAUUAGUUUUAAGGGUCGAAAAAUUAUUCCGAAGGUUCUGGAAUUUUGAGCAUGAAUUAUAGGACUUAUUUGUAAAUUUUGGUGCAUUUUCGCUAACCCGAGAUUGGACUUUUAUCGCAAAUAAGAAAUAAUUGUUUACCGAGUAGAAAUGAUAUUUGACUGGGCAAACGAGCAUGAAAUUGAGCUCCGAUUGAACGAGCAGGUCCGUAUCAUUAUUUAAGACAUUUACAAAAAAAGAAUCGGGUCAUUUCACUAUCGUAUGAGGAAAUUACGGCCUUUUUAGUGAAAGAUUAACUGCUGUUUUUCUGGUGCAUAACAGUCAUGCACUGUUAUAAAAAUCUCAGACUGUGUUCAUUUGGUAUUUUGAGCAUAUCGGGAGUUCUAGAGAUCGGAAUGGAGUGAUUCUUACGGGUUUCUUCUUGAAUUAAUAUGAGGGUUAGUAUUCAAUCUUCAAUUCGACAUUUUCUCAUAAUUUCUUAAUCUGCUUUUUCUUCCUAUCCGUAGAUCUCUUGGGAAAAAUUGGGGUUUUAUCGAUUUGGACUCCCUUUUUGAUGAAAAAGGUAUAUUGGCUGUUGAAUAUGAUCUGUUUAGUAUAGGUUGGUUGGUUUGCUGCUAGAUUGAAGUUUCGGUGGUUCGGUUGGGAUUGAAAGGAGUUGUUUGUAGCUGCUAGUUUUGCUUAGUUUAGAGUUACUUGCGAGUACCUGUGGUUUUCGGUACUCACCCUUGCUUCUACACAAUUGUGUAGGUUGACAGCUCUCUCAGAUUCGGCUUAGUAUUUUCUUUAGUAGAUUGAGCUUCGGGACAUACUCGAGAGGUAGCGGUUCAUUCCAGACGUGCCCUUGAGUUAUCUUUACUUUCAGUUUUGUUCUAUUCGAGAACUAUACUCUGAGACUUGUAUAUUUUUAUUCGAAUUCUGUAUUUAGAGGUUUGUACAUGUGACAACCAAAUUCUGGGUAGUGUUGAGUUUUAAUUAAAGUCUUCCGCUUAUUUAUUAUCUCUUAUUCUCGUAUUUCUACUUCUCUAUCGUUGUGGUUGGGUUAGGCUGACGUGUCCGGUGGGAAAUGGACACGUGCCAUCGCAUCCAGAUUUGGGGUGUGACAGUUGAUCUGUCCAUCACCAUCCACGUCAGCUUCACGAAUCAUCUCGUCAACCUCUUCAUCUGUAAGCUUCUCGCCUAGGUUUGUCAUGACAUGGCGUAGCUCAGCUGCAGAAAUGAAUCCAUUCUGAUCCUUGUCAAACACUCUGAAAGCUUCCUUGAGCUCCUCCUCAGAAUCAGUGUCUUUCAUCUUCCGAGCCAUUAAGUUAAGGAACUCGGGGAAGUCAAUGGUUCCAUUUCCAUCAGCAUCAACUUCAUUGAUCAUGUCUUGAAGCUCAGCCUCAGUUGGAUUUUGUCCCAACGAACGCAUCACGGUUCCAAGUUCCUUAGUGGUGAUGCAACCUGUAGAAAAAUUUGGCAAUAAAUUACAAAAAAUGUAUUGAUAUUGUGUUACAAAUCUUACAACAGUACUUAAAAAGGUUUAUUCUUUUUCUUAACUUAUUCAUUCUACCAGAAAAGUUCUAGACAAGCACAAAACAACGAGAAUAGCUAAACAAAACUAACACAUCACUAACCGCAUUCAUGACUUAAAAUUAUAAAAUAUAUAGGAAAAACAGGGAAAAUCUUUUCAAUGGGAGGACAGACCAAAUUUUAUUUUCAUCGAGCCAAUGCGAAGGGUUUGGUUAAGACACGCCAGAUUCCACCAAGUAUACAAAUGGAAUCUAACCAUACAUGUCCUCCGAUUAUAUCUUCUAAAUCGUCCCCACUAUGAAUCCAUCCUUCCCCUCCAAAAGGGGAUUUUAGUAGAAAACCAAAAAUAAUGAUACUCAAGCUAAGGGUCAAAUUGGUAGUUUUUCUUACAUCUCCCCCUCCCGGAAAUCAGGUUCGUCCGUAAUCUGUUUCAAACAAAAGAUGUAGUCAUCCCAACCAAACGCGGUCAGGUUUAGGUGUUACAGCUAAAUUCGCUUAUAUAAUACUACCAAGUCUGAAACUUUCUAAGGACAUAUUUAUCAGCUAGUUGGUAAGAAAAGCAAACAUAAGUAUAUAUAUACUUUCUUUUGAGAAAAAGUAACUGUAACAUAAGUAAACUUUUUAGGUCUUCUGGCUUUUUUGCUGAUGAUUGAUGUAAAGCUUGAGAAUUUAUGUUUGUACAUUCGAAGCAGUAGCCUUUUCAUUAGCAAUUACAAUGAAAAAAAACAUUACUUAUCAUCAUAAUAAUAAAUUAACUAACUAAUUAUUUUUUCUUACUCUUUGUUGGAAAUUAGCAAAUGAAGUGAUUGUAAUUAACCAAAAAAUAUUACUUUGCCAAUUAAUCUGCAACUAAUUUAAUCUAUCCAUCUAUAGACUAUACGUUAGGCAUAAACAAUAUGCCAUUUUUUCCUUUUUUUUUUUAGACUUUUUCUCCAUUUUCCCUUCUUUCUUUUUUUCAAUUAUUGCAUACCCAAAAAUGAUUUUAUAUAUAUAUGUAUAGAUAUGAUGUGGUUAUUACAACAACAUUUUAGACCUUUUAUUUUCUUCAUGAAACGUUUCUUAAAAGUCAUGGUUCAUUAAUUUAUUUCCCUCCAGCUCCUUGUAAGUCUAUUCAUAUUUUACAUUAUGGAUACUUUAAAUAUCAAAAAUUUAUAUUAUAAAUUACCAUCAAUAUAUCAGUUUUCAACAUUCUUGUAAACAUUUGUGCAUUUAUGUCUAUGCACUCCACAAAGGUAAGCACAUACAGUAUCUAAUCUUCUUUUCUCUUCUCGAUUCAGUACUUUUUUCUUCAUCUACACAUUUUCUAAGUUUUUUGUGUCUUUCUCAAUUUUUUUCUAUUUUCCUUUCGAAUUUCAUAUAGUAUUGUAAAUUUAUAGGUGAAGGUGAUGUUUGAAGAAAAAUACUAAAUUUGACGAUGAAUUGAAAAUGUCGGUCCAAUAUAUGUUUUUCUACGUUGAAGCAAAUUUAAGGCCAAAAUAUGGGGUACGUGAAUUGUAGUUUCUCUGAAAAAAUUAGGUGUUUUAUGUAUAUGAUUUUUAGAAUUAGUAUAAUAUUAUAUGAUGACACUCAUGCUAUAAGAAGACUAAAUGAUUCACUUGAUUGAAUGUUGAGUUAUUCCGUCCUAAAACCCUUAUGUUUAGUUGAGAAAAAAUAUCUUUAUCAAGAGUGGUUCAUUAUGACUUGUAAUAAAAUUUAACAUGAAAUAGUAAGAGAUGUUCUCUCUUUUGGUAUGCUAUGUAAUUAUUUACUCUUUUUUUUUUUCUAUUUUUCUUCUCAUAUAAAAUAGUGAUGAUACAUUUUAUUUGGUAAUUACUAAUUUAUUUGUUGCUGAAAAUUGAGUCUAUUAUUAAUUGAUUCUUUGAAAUAACAGGAUGGCCUGUGAUGGCAAACCGACAAUUUCUAUGCAUACUUGAGAUGAAUAAUCAGAUGUUAAAGUAGUGUAUUUUUUUUUUGUUAUCCCUGUGUCAUCUAUCUAUGCAAUAGUUAGUGGAAGACUAAAACAAAUCAUUCUAAAUUGAAUAGAUUAUACUAAAUGAUAUUAAAUCAUUUACAUUAAAAAUUCGAAUAAUCUUCUUCAUGUUUUUGCAAAUUUCGUUAGAGGCAAUCUACAUGCAUUUAUAAUUUUUUUCAAGCAAAGAUUUAUCAACAUUCAUAUCAUUAGAGACUAUAUUAUCUUAAGUAGUUUCACAUAUUUUUUAUGGAAAUACAUUGUCCUGCUUGUAUGAAUUUUAUUGAUGAGUAAAAUCCAUAUUGUGUAUUCAACACUAUCUAUUUUAUAACUCAACUUUUUAAAUAUAUAAAAUUUAUAUAAUAAUGAUAAGGGACAAACGUGCAAUGCACGUUCCCAAAGACUAGUAUUAUUAUAAGUGGGAAGCUCCAACCUUGAAAGUUGAAUUACCAUUAUACCCCUACUCUUAAUUUAAAUGCCACAAACCAACUAAUUAAUCAAACAUUAAUAAUAAUCAUAUUAUUAUACUAUUAUACCACUACCAAUCAUAUUUAUUAUAUUAUAUAUCAACAUAACAUAAUAUAAUUAUAAUAAUAAUAAUCUCUGAAGUUAAAUGUUGGAUUACAAAAAUAACCUUAUAAAGUUGAGUUACUAACUUACUAUAAUAUCAUUUAACUAGAUAUUACUUAAAAAAAAAAAUUAUACAAAGAUGUAAAUGCACAUUCUUAUAAAAAUAUAUAUAUUCAGUUAGAAGAGGGUAAACGUUCACCUUUCCCUUCAUUAUUAAAAAUAGUCAUCUUAAUUCAUAAUAAAGGUAAAUAAUAACUUCCAUGCAUGAAUGUGAUCUAUUUUUGUUCAAUGUACUACACCUUUUCUUCUCUUAUCUUUAAUUUUUGCUCAUUUAUCUUCUACCUUUAUAGCCUUUUGAUAUUCUUUUUAUCACCUUAUAAUCUGCAAAAAUUAAUAUCAUUUCAUUAUCCUUUACCGAUAUUGUUUCUUCUCCUAAAAAUCACUGGUUGAUGUAGCUACUUAUCUACAUUAGUACACCUGAUUCUGCCAAAAUACGUAUUAAAUGAUUUGAGGAAACUAGAUUUGAUCUACCAUUUGAUCAAAUCACUAAAUUGGAACUAUAUUUAGAUCAAAUCAUCUAAAUGGAAGUAGCAUUACUAUUGCAAGUUUCUAUCAGGUAAGCCUUUGAUCAUAUUAGAUGAAUAUGUACAAUCCAGUAUUGAUUGUUUACAGAGUAAAUGAGUAUCCUGGGGAAUUUGCAACCUUGUCCCUUGUUUAUUUGCUUCCAUUUUCCCCCCUACUUAUUUACUUAUACUAACUUUAUCACUUUGUAAUAUAAAUUUAGAGCAUUCUAUAAGCUCUAAAUUGGUACUAAUUUUUUUUUAAAUUUUCGCAAGUUGAUAUUUUUUAUAUGAUGUAAAGGAUAACUUUGCAACAUCAAUUAAUUAUAUAUUUUUGCUUUAUGCAGAUUUUAUACGGUUGAAUCAGUGAAAAGAUAUAAUUUCUUUCUUUUCGAUUCGCAUCGUAGGUAAUUGUUCUAUUGAAAAUUUUAGCACUUUUUAUGGACUAUCAAACUAAUUUUUUCCUGUUUGCUUUUUAUCAAUUAUUUGUACAUUACAAAAGUCUAUUUUUCUCAUCAAUUGUUUCUAACAUUUCAAAAUCUCGAAAUAUACUUACUAAUGAAUACCAUUUUCAAUAAUAAAUACUAUCUUUGGGAUAAAAAUAUAAUAUUAUACUUCAUAAUUCAUUGUACUUAAGUCUCCAAAACAUAAUUAUUAUUUUUUAUGUUAUAUUAAUUUCUAAAUUUUCAUUUUUCAUAUAUUAUAUUAUUAUUUUGAAAGUUGAAGCCUUUUAAGUUAAAAAAAUGAAUUACCAAAAUGUCCAUUGUAAGUUGGUCAUUUUUACUGAUUAGUCAUGAACCAUUUCUUCAAUAUUCAAGUUAUACAAAAUUGUAAGAAAAUAUUUCAUAAAAUAUUACCAUUAAAUUAUUAUAAAUUUGUAAUCAAAUUAUACUAAAUCACAGAAAGACAAAUAAGUUGGGAAGUGUAACCAUUACCUUAUUGAAUAGCUACUAAUGCAAAUACAUAUAUUUUCGUCCUAUACACUUAUAAUUAUAUAAAUUUACUAUACGUCAAGGAUAACAAAUUGAAUAGCUACUAAUUCUUUGUUUUAUAUUUCUUGUAUAUAAUAGACAGCAAUCAGCAAUCACUCCGACCCAUUGACUCUAAAAGUCUUGGAUCAAAAUUUUAGGCAAGACCUGAAAGAAUAAACACAUAAAAAUAAUAAAAACAACAAACAUAUUUAUCAUAUGAAUUUUGGUAAUCCUCCCUUAAUGAGUUAGCUUUUGGGGUUGAAUUAGGUGUAAGUAUCAUAUAUUUUACUUGGUAUCCGAGCUGGGGACUGGCUAUGUUUAUAUGGAUUUGAGCAAUCCUCUCUUAGUGAGCUAGUUUUGGGGGUUGAGUUAUACUCAAAUGUCAUAUCUUUACAUGGUAUUAGAGUCGGGGUCCAUUCCCACUCGAGCUCCUUGCCCACGCUCCAGUUGAACCUGUGCGUGAAGGGGUGGUUAGAGUUCCACUUUGGUUGUAGAAUGAACUGAUGGUCUGCUUGUAUGUAUUUGGUUGAGCUAGGUUUUUGGGUCGAGUUAAACCAAGUAUCAUAUCUUUACAAGUACCAAAAAGCACAAAGGAAUGGACUUGUCCAUUCAAGUAUUUAUGUAAUCUAGCAAAUGAUGAGCGAAUGCAGUGUAAGGUCUGUGCCAUUUACAGUGUUCUGUCUUUUCCACAUAUAAAGUUUGCUCACCAUGGGGUAUAUACUUGAGAAAAGGUGACUUGUUUGCCCUUUAAAACAUCUAUGAUUUCUUUCUAUCCAAGUGCACUUCUUACCAUAUUGAUAUGAUGAGAAUUGCAACUUAUAGUACUUUUUGUUUUGUUUCCAAAUUUCUAAAUUUUAUUGCCUGGAUUUACUGCGAAAGUUAGUCACAUUGACUCUUCUUUAGAAAAUGUGCCAAACAUAUUAAGAUGGAAGAAGUGAUCCUUUUUAAAUGGUUUAAUCGUAUGAAGGUUAGCUAAGGUGGUGGAUACGCCCACACCCUAUGCAAUUACUCUGCAUGUUAUAUUGGUUGUCUGUAUGCCUGUGUUUGCGGGGAUGUGUCUGCAUCUAUAGGGGAGAGUUGUAAAUUGAUUGUAGUGCUGUUCAUUAUAUGCUUAACUGUGACUUGUUGUGUUUUCCCAAUGUAGUAGCGUUGAAGUGUUCUGCUUGACACUAAAUUGAAACACUUAUAGGAACAACCAUUACAACUUCCCGAUCCCAGAUUGGUAAUAUGAAUCCUCUAUUUCCAUUCCACUUCUAUUAGGUUUCAUGCUAUUCCUAUAUGAAACGCCACCUAGUGCAUCCGGGAGCAGGCGGUGGGUGCAGAAAUGUUAUGCUGUAAUCCUAGUAGGACUGGUGAAACCUUUUAGUCAAUCUGUAGUCAAGUGAAAGUUGGAGUUCUCCUUUUGUGUGCGGGUUCUGCUCUGAAUAAUUCACUUUGGCUGAUUUUCUUGCCACCUUAUAUAUGAUGAAUAUUCUUCAUGUUUUGUAAUCAACAUUAUCACUCAAAAUUUAGGCUUUUCUAAGUGGACAGAAGGGAAUAGUGUCCUUCUGAGGUUGGCCAAUUACCAAAAGCAAGCCCCUCUUAUUUUUAGUUAAUUGCUUCUUGGGAGCUCCAAUCGUUCCCCAUAAACUCCUCUUUAUAAUCCUUUUCAGGUGCCAGUAGUUCUUUUACAAGGAGGGGAUGGCAAUCCUGUUAGCAAUCAAAUGUGGGGCAAUGAAUGUGAGGAUGCCUCUGAUCAUUCACUAGAGAGUGGCAUACCUACUUUGAUAACAUGGAGUUAUGGUGGUAAUAAUGUUGCUAUCCAAGGAUCUUGGGACAACUGGACAUCAAGGUAAACUCUGGCCUCUUAUUUAGGAGUUGAACUAGAUUCAACCAAGUACUAGCUGUUGCGAUGACUCCUGUUAAUGGAGUUUCUGAAUGUAUCCACUAAUGAUGUUUGCUUGCAGGAAGAUUCUCCAAAGAUCAGGCAAGGACUAUACCGUCUUUUGGUCCUUCCAUCGGGUAUAUAUCAUUACAAAUUCAUUGUGGAUGGAGAAGUUAGAUAUAUUCCAGAACUUCCUUGUGUAGCAGAUGAGACAGGCGUUGUCUUUAAUCUUCUUGAUGUUAAUGUAAGUGAGAAUUCUGCUUCCUGAUUAUUGAGGGGAAGCUGAUUUACAUUUACCUAAUGAACUGAUAUUUACAUUACCACAGCAGAGGCAUCAUUGAUAACUUUAGAACAUUGAUGCAUAAACAUGUGUUCUAUAGUCUAUAUACCUGCUGUUCCCUGAGAAUUUGUUUGGCUCUUAACACAAUCCGCAUCCUUCCUACAGGACAAUGUUCCAGAGAACCUUGAAAGUGUUGCAAUGUUUGAGGCCCCACCAUCACCUGACUCUAGCUAUGCGCAAGCUUUGCUGGGAGAUGAGGAUUUCGCAAAGGAGCCAGUGGCAGUUCCACUCCAACUUCAUCUAACUGUUCUUGGUUCUGAAAACUCAGAAGAGGCACCUUCUUCUCCAAAACCCCAGCACGUAGUACUUAAUCACCUCUUUAUAGAGAAAGGAUGGGCUUCUCAAUCCGCUGUUGCUCUUGGUUUGACGCAUAGAUUCCAGUCGAAAUAUGUCACUGUUGUCCUCUACAAGCCACUGAAGAGGUGACCACCCCGUGUUUACAAUCAAAUCUUUCCAGAGCUUUCUCAGUGUGGCUGCAUUAAGAUUUCCACUGUUUAUAGACCUGCUCAACGUUGAAACUUCCUUUAACCUCUCUUCUCUGUUGUACAAUAGUUUCAAGUUUUAUCAGCAAUGCAUUUUCUCCUUUCUUCACUGUCUUUUCAGUGAUUUUAUGUUCUCAAAAGGAUUAAUGUG